CCCCAGACCUGAGAGCCCCGCAGAGCCCUGCUCUCCCCAAGCCGGGGCUGCUGCGGGAAGCUGGGCUUUUAGGGGAAACCUCUGAGUCCCUGGCGGGGUUCCAGGUGGCCAAGGGCAGGCUGCUUGCCACCCAUGCCGUCCCCAGACGCCUCCCUCUGCUCAGUUCUAACGGGAGGGGACGGGCAACCAGGCUGCGGCAGGUUUCUGACAUUUUUUUUUUCUUCUUAGAAAUGGAAACCCUCCUUCCGGCAACGUGGCAGCAAAGCUAAGUCCCCGGGCGACCCAGGCCAAGGACAUUUCCGUGGUAGCAGGAUGUUUCUCUCUCAUCAUGUGGAAUCUGUGUGCAAUGGAAGCAUCCUGGAAACAAAAGAAAAGAAGGCAGAAAGAAGCCUGGUUAAUGGUUGUGGCCAUGAGCUGUGGUGGGAAGGGACACAUAGGUGCCCCUGGAAUGCCCAAAUUCCGGAGACUCCAAGUCACAGCGGCUCAGCAUCACGUCCAGGGGCCCUGCGAACAGCCGCAGUUCAGCCUGAGACCCUGGCUCUUUGGAGACUGAGGCAAGAGCAGGCUCUAGAGGGAAGGAAAAGCCACUCUCCCCUCCCAGGACAGUGAGGGUCUCUGCUCGGGUGAAGCCAGGAGCCUGUGGGGACGGUGGUGGGGCAUAAAAGAGGGAAUAUUUUCGACUCAUGAGAAGUUACAAAAAUAGUACAUUUCUCGCGUCCCAUUCACCCAGCUUCCAGCAAACGAUGACAUCUUACACAACACAGGUCAAAACCCCGAGAAGAGGCUGGGAGAGGCUAUUGUGAAUUAACCCUUUGUUGUCUGUGUUUCAAGUUUCGCUGAUAAUAAAAGUGUAUUAAGCUUAGUAGCUUCUGCUUAUUGAUUAUUCUGUCCACAGGACUGCUUCCGAAGCCAGCAGGAAUCUCCGAUCCCUUCCUUACACUUCGUUGUGCUACCUCCCCCUUUGGCUGUGCUACUGGCCACCUGUACCUCAGAACUCACCAUGAGGCUCCCGUGAUACUACAUUACUGGGUGUCUCAUCUUCACUUUGGAACCUCUCAGCCCCGAGUCUCUGCAUCUCAUACUCUCGUCACAGCCAUCCUGUGAAUGCUCAUGCUUGCGACUAGGGUUUAGAUGCUGAGGGCUCCAUGAUCUGUAGUCCAGAACAGGAUCCAACACUGAACUCAAUUCUCCUUCAAACCCAGCCUUCGGCACUUCUUACAGAGUCUACUUUCCAACAGAGGAGUGUGUACUGUCCCCUUAUCGCCCAGUCCCCAUCUAACACUGUGGGGGCAGAUACUGAACCCUGGAAAUAAAUUGGCUGACUGGGUUGGAGAGGGUACAUCCCAGAAACAAUGAGCUGAUUUAGAUUUGCUCAACAGCUACAGUGAAACACAGAAAUCUCUGGACAUAGUGGUACAUGCCUGUAGGCUAAGUAUAUGGGAGCCUGGGGCAGGAGGGUCAAGGAUAGCCUGGACUACAAGGUGGGACUAUAUCUCAACAAACCAAACCAAUCAACCAACAAAACCCUUAAAAUACAUAUACUAGACUAUGUGUCUGAAAGAUCCUUAAAAUUCCAUGGAGCAGAUUUUUAGCUAAUGUAUAUUCUCUCUUCUUUUCUUCCCUCCCUCCCUCU